GGCGGCGUGCCUAACACAUGCAAGUCGAACGAGAAUUUACGAAUUGAUUCUUCGGAAUGACGUUGUAAAGGAAAGUGGCGGACGGGCGAGUAACGCGUGAAUAACCUGCCCAUAAGAGGGGGAUAAUCCAUGGAAACGUGGACUAAUACCGCAUAUUGAGUGGAAAUCGCAUGGUUUUUACUUGAAAGAUUUUAUCGCUUAUGGAUGGAUUCGCGUCAGAUUAGCUAGUUGGUGAGGUAACGGCUCACCAAGGCGACGAUCUGUAGCCGAACUGAGAGGUUGAUCGGCCGCAUUGGGACUGAGACACGGCCCAGACUCCUACGGGAGGCAGCAGUGGGGAAUAUUGCGCAAUGGGGGCAACCCUGACGCAGCCAACGCCGCGUGCAGGAAGAAGGUCUUCGGAUUGUAAACUGUUGUCGCAAGGGAAGAAGACAGUGACGGUACCUUGUGAGAAAGUCACGGCUAACUACGUGCCAGCAGCUGC
rnacentral:rRNA from 1 species